UUGGGGUCAUCACACAUGAGGAACUAUAUUAAAGGGUCUAAUAUAGUGUUAGGAAAGUUGAGAACCACUAGUCUAAGAUCUUUUCUUCAUGCUGCCUUCUCUCAUUCUAAAUGUUCUUUUUAUGCCAGCCAUAUACUUAGGCUUCCGCAUUUAAAGGUUUUAUAAACCUUCCACUGGUUCUGGUCUCCAUGGGAGGUUUUUCUGGGGCCUUUGUUUAGCUUGUGGUAUAUUCUGGGUUUCUCUAUCACUCAUUUAUGUAUUCUCUUUGGCUAGUGAAAGAUACUGUUCUCAGCUCUAAUCUUUCAACCAUGCAGAUGUUUUAAUAUUUGAUCUCUCUGCUCCAGCAUAAUAAUGAACAAAGCUCUGAACAAGGCUGCAAAUGCUCCAGGGACUUGGCUUUAGUCUCUUUAUUUUCUAUCUACUUUUCUACUUUCUCUGAAUCUUAUUUCCAUGAGACAAUGUAUGCACUCGAGUAAACUCGUGGAGUUUCUGUUCAGUUGCAUAUCAACAAACAAAAACUCCUAUUUUUCCAUUAGUUCUUAUUUCCUCUACGAGUCCUCAGGCAGAGCUCAUUUGCCCACCUAUUCAUUGAACACAUGGAGAAUUAGAACGCAAAGUCAAGUGAAACACAGUUUUACACAGCCUUGGGAGAGAUUCUGGUUUGGUAGAAAUGAGGGCAAAUUACUGCAUUUGUCGUUAUUUUUGUUGUUUUAUUAUAUUUUAUUAUAGUUUUAGAUAUCUGAUAUGCUAAUACCAGAAAUUCAUAGACUGUUCUGGGAGCCUGGGGGGGGGGGUCAUCUAACCAAGCCAGGAGUGCCAGAGACAACUUUGCAGAAAGUCUAGCUGGAUUUUGAGGAAGGCCUAGAACUGAUAUCAAGAAAGGAGCUGAAGGGAAGAGGGAGGGAAAUAGAGUAUUGGAGGCACAGAAUUAUUCAUGCACAUGUUAAUCUCAGAAGGCCUGAGCAGUUUUACUCAGGUCUUUGUAACCUCAGACUUCGGAGCUCACCCGCUGUGAGGUCAGGUCUUAGCUCUAGGACAGAGGGCAGGUCACAGAAGCUCACUGUGCUUUUGUCUCCUCAUCCAGAGCGUGAGAAACUAGCAACUUGUGCUCAAGAAUCGCCAAGCAGAUGAAAUGAGAUAGUGUGUGCAAAGCUGUUAGCAGCUGCCAGGCGCCAGAGUAAGCAUGAUGCAGUGCAACACAAGAGAACUGGCACGAUGUGGAGUGGAGAGGAAGGGAGCAGCCUAACGACCAUUGUGUCCAAUGAAGGAGUCUAACUUAACUGAGGACCAUGGAAGAGCUCUGAGAUUCCCGUACAGAGAAAUCACUGGUAGCUCACUGGAGGAUGUAUAUAGUGGACUGCAGUUCAAAGGCCUAGGGUGUCUUUUGAAUGAGUCUUUGCUGGGCUAGUGGCAGAAAAACUAAAAGAAAAAGGUGCAUAUAAGUGACACUAAGGUCAAGUCAAUGACAUAUGGAUUCAGUCCUGGUCUCUGCUGACUUCAGGCUCGUUAGGGGAUUUUGGAAACUGUAGUAACAUGUAGUAUUCACAUAAAAGUUCCACACUUGCCUCUGCUCCCGUGAGAAAGAAUGUGCAUUCCAGUCUCUGUAGUAAUCAUAAAUUGUCUUUGCCUGGGAUCUGAAUAUGAGUGACUAUUCUUUUCCUGAGACUCAUUGUUAUAUUCCUUUGUCUCCUAAGCAAAUCAUCUUCUUUGGAUUGGCAAAUAGCUUUCCAGGUGCAUUUCUUCCAGCCAGCAAUAGCCUUCAAGGGAUCCAAAGAAGACUGGCCCCACUGAAAAUUAGGUCAAACUGCACACAGGGUUUGUCCUGCUCAGCUUGAAGGAGCUUCUUAGAAUUAGGAUGUCUGUGUGUGCUGUGUGAAAUGUGGAUUUAAACAGGGACAUCUGGAAAAGGAAGGUUGCCUGGGGGUGGGCGGAUCUUACAGAAACAGACGUGUUAGUGAGGCUAGAGGAUGCUCAUUUCAGCCAGAGUCACAUGUCCAUAGUGACUAAGAGAAGAAUCACAAGUGCCUUUAUAUCUCUUAGAUUGUCCAAGCAUACCAGAAGAGAGCCCCAGAGCUGAGGAUAGCAAUUCUCAGUGGUUGAAGGGUCUCCCAGUAGUCACCCCUCUUAUGGAGCUGAGGCAGUCAUUUAGAAGUCGUGUGCCAGAAAAGGAAGUAUCCCUAACUUUAAAGUAGCAGGCAUGGUAGAGG
rnacentral:lncRNA from 1 species